GAUGAACGCUGGCGGCGUGCCUAAUACAUGCAAGUCGAGCGAACAGACGAGGAGCUUGCUCCUCUGACGUUAGCGGCGGACGGGUGAGUAACACGUGGAUAACCUACCUAUAAGACUGGGAUAACUUCGGGAAACCGGAGCUAAUACCGGAUAAUAUAUUGAACCGCAUGGUUCAAUAGUGAAAGACGGUUUUGCUGUCACUUAUAGAUGGAUCCGCGCCGCAUUAGCUAGUUGGUAAGGUAACGGCUUGCCAAGGCAACGAUGCGUAGCCGACCUGAGAGGGUGAUCGGCCACACUGGAACGGAGACACGGUCCAGACUCCUACGGGAGGCAGCAGUAGGGAAUCUUCCGCAAUGGGCGAAAGCCUGACGGAGCAACGCCGCGUGAGUGAUGAAGGUCUUCGGAUCGUAAAACUCUGUUAUUAGGGAAGAACAAAUGUGUAAGUAACUAUGCACGUCUUGACGGUACCUAAUCAGAAAGCCACGGCUAACUACGUG
rnacentral:rRNA from 1 species